rnacentral:rRNA from 1 species
AGCGUAGGCGGCGCGGUAAGUCAGAUGUGAAAUCCCGGGGCUCAACCCCGGAACUGCAUCCGAUACUGCCGUGCUAGAGGACUGGAGAGGCAACUGGAAUUCUCGGUGUAGCAGUGAAAUGCGUGGAUAUCGAGAGGAACACUCGUGGCGAAAGCGAGUUGCUGGACAGUAUCUGACGCUGAGGCUCGAAGGCCAGGGUAGCGAAAG